CUACUUGUCUGCAGCAGUACUCUGAAUUUAUGUGGGCUUUCCCGUAUUCACUGAAGGCCCUGGCUCACAGGGAGAUGCUUCUCAGCAGUGGAAGCCGAUACCUCAUUCGAUCAGAUGAUAUGAUAGAAACAGUUUACAACGACAGAGGAGAGAUUGUUAAAACCAAAGAACGCCGAGUCUUCAUGUUAAAUGAUGUGUUAAUGUGUGCCACCGUCAGCUCACGCCCCUCUCAUGACAGCCGUGUGAUGAGCAGCCAGAGGUACUUGCUGAAGUGGAGCGUUCCACUGGGACAUGUGGACGCCAUCGAGUAUGGCAGCAGCGCAGGCACGGGCGAGCACAGCAGGCACCUUGCCGUUCACCCGCCGGAGAGCCUGGCCGUGGUUGCUAACGCGAAACCAAACAAAGUUUACAUGGGGCCAGGACAACUGUAUCAAGAUUUACAAAACUUGUUGCAUGACUUAAAUGUAAUUGGCCAAAUCACUCAGCUGAUAGGAAACCUUAAAGGAAACUAUCAGAACUUAAACCAGUCAGUAGCCCA
rnacentral:misc_RNA from 1 species